UGGGGAAUAUUGGACAAUGGGCGCAAGCCUGAUCCAGCCAUGCCGCGUGGAUGAUGAAGGCCCUAGGGUUGUAAAGUCCUUUUAACGGGGAAGAUAAUGACGGUACCCGUAGAAUAAGCCCCGGCUAACUUCGUGCCAGCAGCCGCGGUAAUACGAAGGGGGCUAGCGUUGCCCGGAAUUACUGGGCGUAAAGCGCAAGUAGGCGGACCGAUAAGUCGGGGGUGAAAUCCUGGAGCUCAACUCCAGAACUGCCUUCGAAACUGCCGGUCUUGAGUUCGGGAGAGGUGAGUGGAACUGCGAGUGUAGAGGUGAAAUUCGUAGAUAUCUGGAAGAACACCAGUUGCGCAGGCGGUCUCUUGGUCCGAUACUGACGCUGAGGCGCGAAAGCGUGGAGAGCAAACA
rnacentral:rRNA from 1 species